rnacentral:rRNA from 1 species
UACAGAGGUCUCAAGCGUUGUUCGGAUUCAUUGGGCGUAAAGGGUGCGUAGGCGGCGGGGUAAGUCUGGUGUGAAAUCUCGGAGCUCAACUCCGAAAUUGCACUGGAUACUGCUCUGCUUGAGGGUUGGAGAGGAGAUCGGAAUUCACGGUGUAGCAGUGAAAUGCGUAGAUAUCGUGAGGAAGACCAGUGGCGAAGGCGGAUCUCUGGACAAACCCUGACGCUGAGGCGCGAAGGCUAGGGGAGCAAACGGG